rnacentral:rRNA from 1 species
CAGUAGCCGCGGGAAUACGGAGGGGGCUAGCGUUGUUCGGAAUUGCUGGGCGUAAAGCGCACGUAGGCGGCUUGGUAAGUUAGAGGUGAAAGCCUGGAGCUCAACUCCAGAAUUGCCUUUAAGACUGCCGAGCUAGCAGGUGAGAGAGGUAAGUGGAAUUCCGAGUGUAGAGGUGAAAUUCGUAGAUAUUCGGAAGAACACCAGUGGCGAAGGCGGCUUACUGGCUCAUACUGGACGCUGAGGUGCGAAAGCGUGGGGAGCAAACAGGAUUAGAUACCCGCGUAGUCCCUGUCUCUUAUAC